rnacentral:rRNA from 1 species
CGUAGGAUGCAAGCGUUGUCCGGAUUUAUUGGGCGUAAAGAGUUCGUAGGUGGUUUGUUAAGUCUGAUGUUAAAGACUGGGGCUCAACCUCGGAAAUGCAUUGGAUACUGGCAGACUUGAGUGUGGUAGAGGCAAUCGGAAUUCCAGGUGUAGCGGUGAAAUGCGUAGAUAUCUGGAAGAACACCGGUGGCGCAAGCGGAUUGCUGGGCCAUAACUGACACUGAGGAACGAAAGCUAGGGGAGCGAAUGGGAUUAGAUACCCCAGUAGUCCUAGCCGUAAACGAUGAAUACUAGGCGUAUCGGGUAUCGACCCCUGAUGUGCCGCAGCUAACGCGAUAAGUAUUCCGCCUGAGUAGUACGGCCGCAAGGGUUG